CCCUUAGAUGUCCUGGGCCGCACGCGCGCUACACUGAUGCAUUCAACGAGUUUUACCUUGGCCGAGAGGCCUGGGCAAUCUUUUAAACCUGCAUCGUGAUAGGGAUAGAUUAUUGCAAUUAUUAAUCUUGAACGAGGAAUUCCUAGUAAACGCAGAUCAUCAAUCUGCAUUGAUUACGUCCCUGCCCUUUGUACACACCGCCCGUCGCACCUACCGAUUGAAUGGUCCGGUGAAGCCUCGGGAUUGUGGCCAGUUCACUUUAUUGGGAGUUGGUUGCGAGAACUUGUCUAAACCUUAUCAUUUAGAGGAAGGUGAAGUCGUAACA
rnacentral:rRNA from 1 species